GUCAGAAUGGCAUUUCCAGGAAGACUCCCAGUGGUCACAGUGGUGCAGACUACAACUCCCAGAAGUCUUUGCGAGGAAAAUCCCGGAAUCCAGGUCUACGAACUCCUGAAUCAAGCAGGUGACCCACCCCGCUGCCUGAGCAAUAGAGCCAAGAACCGGAGAAGACUCUCCCAGAACUCAGCCCAGAGUCUGGGGGGAGGAAUUUGCCCAAACUGUUAAAAGGUCUGACCUCGAUUAAAGUUGGGGCCUCGAUCAGUAAA